rnacentral:lncRNA from 1 species
AAAUAUCUUCAUGUCCAUGAUACCUUGCCAAGCCUUGAUCAUGCCAUAUCCAAACCUUGAUAAUGUCGUCCAUGUCUCAUGCACAAGGUUUCACAUCAAGUCACAUAAUCCACCCUAUAAAAAAAAAACAAACUAAUUCAUACACAAGUACAAAGUCUAAGAUCCUUGAACCUAUUUGCAUACAGACGAUAUAUACAAGUUAUCAUAAACCAUCCCAUACUUCAAGUUUCAC